CCGUACCUGCAAGAAGACAAACGAAAAUAAUAGCAAAUGCAAACAAAAGGAAAACAUUGUAUUUUUAUUUAUUUCGUUAAUUCUUCCUCUUUUUUUUCGGCUGUAAAAAGCCAGAUUUUAAUCUUGUAAUCAGAGACAUUUACGAACGCAAGCAAUACUAAGCAACAAAAAAUAGAAAAAGAAGGGGUAAGAAAGAGCAGCAUAUAAAAGAAACAGCCAUCGGACCAUACCCUUUUCGUCAGAACCCAGGUUGAAGAUUGGCUUCCAAGGCUAAAAUUUGGCUUAUUGAAGCGAGAUUUAGAAUAACGAGGGGCUUAC